GCACACACACACACACACACACAGACAAUAACAGCAGCUUGAACACACACACACACUAACAUCAGCUUUGUGAACUCUGUGUGUGUGUGUGUGUGUGUGU